GACGAACGCUGGCGGCGUGCUUAACACAUGCAAGUCGAACGGUGAAGCGCCUUCCUUUUUGGUGGGUGUGGAUGAGUGGCGAACGGGUGAGUAACACGUGAGUAACCUGCCCCCUUCUUCUGGAUAACCGCAUGAAAGUGUGGCUAAUACGGGAUAUUCUGGGUCUGCCGCAUGAUGGGUCUGGGAAAGAUCUUGUUUCGGUGGGGAUGGGCUCGCGGCCUAUCAGCUUGUUGGUGGGGUGAUGGCCUACCAAGGCGGUGACGGGUAGCCGGCCUGAGAGGGUGGACGGUCACACUGGGACUGAGACACGGCCCAGACUACUACGGGAGGCAGCAGUGGGGAAUAGUGCACAAUGGGCGCAAGCCUGAUGCAGCGACGCCGCGUGAGGGAUGGAGGCCUUCGGGUUGUGAACCUCUUUCGCCAGUGAAGCAGGCCUGCCUCGUUUGUGGGUGGGUUGACGGUAGCUGGAGAAGAAGCGCCGGCUAACUACGUG
rnacentral:rRNA from 1 species